GAUGAACGCUGGCGGCGUGCCUAAUACAUGCGAGUCGAGCGAACAGACGAGGAGCUUGCUCCUCUGACGUUAGCGGCGGACGGGUGAGUAACACGUGGAUAACCUACCUAUAAGACUGGGAUAACUUCGGGAAACCGGAGCUAAUACCGGAUAAUAUAUUGAACCGCAUGGUUCAAUAGUGAAAGACGGUUUUGCUGUCACUUAUAGAUAGAUCCGCGCCGCAUUAGCUAGUUGGUAAGGUAACGGCUUACCAAGGCAACGAUGCGUAGCCGACCUGAGAGGGUGAUCGGCCACACUGGAACUGAGACACGGUCCAGACUCCUACGGGAGGCAGCAGUAGGGAAUCUUCCGCAAUGGGCGAAAGCCUGACGGAGCAACGCCGCGUGAGUGAUGAAGGUCUUCGGAUCGUAAAACUCUGUUAUUAGGGAAGAACAAAUGUGUAAGUAACUAUGCACGUCUUGACGGUACCUAAUCAGAAAGCCACGGCUAACUACGUG
rnacentral:rRNA from 1 species